AAGUCGUAACAAGGUUUCCGUAGGUGAACCUGCGGAAGGAUCAUUAGUGAAUUAAACAUGCUUGGUGUCUUCGCUUCGGCAAGGCCCUUGCUUAAAUCACAUCCUAACACCUGUGAACUGUAAGACGUAUGAUGAGGUCUUUGGCCAAGUCAUCGUCUGCCCAUUUUUAACAAACAAUUAAUGUAACAAACUUAGUCUUAUUAUAACCUAAUAAAACUUUCAACAACGGAUCUCUUGGCUCUC
rnacentral:misc_RNA from 1 species